rnacentral:rRNA from 1 species
CGUGUAGGCGGCCAAUUAAGUCAGACGUGAAAACUCAGGGCUUAACCUUGGGACUGCGUUUGAAACUGAAUGGCUAGAGGAUCGGAGAGGGCAGUGGAAUUCCCAGUGUAGCGGUGAAAUGCGUAGAUAUUGGGAGGAACACCAGUGGCGAAGGCGACUGCCUGGACGACACCUGACGCUGAGGCGCGAAAGCUAGGGGAGCAAACG